rnacentral:misc_RNA from 1 species
GGACGAAAGAGCUCAUUCACAAUUGAUUGGAAUGUCGCCGGUGCAUUUGUAAGGCCGAAUGGCAUUACCAAGAAUUCAUAAUGCCCGGUAUGAGUAUGAAAUGCCGUCUUCGAAACAUCUUCUGAUUUUACUCUGAUUUGGUGAUAGCCCGAUCGUUAAUCAAAUCUUAGAAAAGAACUUGGAUCCAUGUAGCUCAUCUAACAUCUCUUGGAUAACU